rnacentral:ribozyme from 1 species
AAAAAAAUGCAUACAUAUGCAUAUGCAUAGUUUUUCUAUUCAUUUCUUUUUGAAACCGUGUUAAAGCUUAUACCCAAAGAUACUAUGCCACAUAUUCAUAAAUAUCUGAACAAUAAUGGCAUCCGCGCCAAAAAAUAUCACGGCUUUUAAUGAGCGGUGUUAAUGAUCGAAACAUUUUUUGGUUUUUCUAUGUCCAGAAUCAAAAUUUUAAAAAGGAAAAAAAAAAAAG